UACGUAGGGUGCAAGCGUUGUCCGGAAUUAUUGGGCGUAAAGAGCUCGUAGGCGGUCUGUUGCGUCGGCUGUGAAAACCCGAGGCUCAACCUCGGGCCUGCAGCCGAUACGGGCAGACUAGAGUUCGGCAGGGGAGACUGGAAUUCCUGGUGUAGCGGUGAAAUGCGCAGAUAUCAGGAGGAACACCGGUGGCGAAGGCGGCGUUCUGGACUGUUUCUGACACUGAAAAACGAAAGCCAGGGGAGCAAACGGG
rnacentral:rRNA from 1 species